GUCCAACUCACAUUUUUCAAAAGAGGAAACUGAGGGGGCAGCUGGGUGGCUCAGUGGAUUGAGAGCCAGGCCUAGAGACGGGAGGUCCUAGGUUCAAAUCUGGCCUCAGACACUUCCCAGCUGUGUGACCCUGGACAAGUCACUUGACCCUCAUUGUCUAGCCCUUACCACUCUUCUGCCUUAGAACCAAUACCCAGCAUUGACUCCAAGACGGAAGGUAGGGGUAUAAAAAAAUUUUUUUAAAAGAGGAAACCGAGGUCAGGAAAGAGAAAAUGGCUUGCCAGCGAGAUCUAAAACCUAGAUCUCCCCAUUCCCAGGGCAGGUUCUUUUUCCCGACCAACCCUGUCCCCCAGAGAUCCACAGUCUCAUAGAAUGUGAGACCUGGAAGGAAUCGUGGAACAUCGACUAGAAGAUGCUUUGGAACAAGGAUGUGGGGCCUGGAAAUUCUGUCAGAGCUGGAAGAAGCCUCCCUGGUCAGCCCGUCGAGCCCCACAUUUUGUGAGUGGGGAAACGGGGGCCUAAAGGCCAAAUGCCUUGCCCAAAGUCACCCAGACUAGCUGGAAUUGAAAUAUAUGACACCACGCAGGAACGAAAGGAAGAGAGGCCUUGGGCUGGGGUGGAAAGAAGGCUGGCCUGGGAGUCAGGAGACCCGGACUUGGAUCUCUGGCCUCUGACACCUACUAGCUGACUGACCUUGGACAAGGCCCUUUCCAUCUCUGCACCGGAUCAUCCUCAUCUGGAAACAGAGCCACUUGUAUUAUCUAACUCAUGCAGCUAUUGUGACAAAAGCACUUUAUAAGCCUAAAUUUAGCACUAGAGAAAUAGGGGUAGUUCAGGAAGCUAGGUAGCACAGUGGAUAAAGCUCCAAGGCCAGAACUGGGAGGACCUGAGUUCCAAUUUGGUCUUAGACUCUUCUUAGUGGUGUGACCCUGGUUAAGACACUUAAUCCCAUUGCACAACCCUUGCCACUCUUUUGUCUUAGAAUCAAUCCUAAAACAUAAGAUAAGGGAGGGACAGAGAGGGAAGAG
rnacentral:lncRNA from 1 species